rfam:Camelus ferus isolate Naran unplaced genomic scaffold scaffold93320, whole genome shotgun sequence.
GGAGGUAUAGCGCAAGUGGUAGAGUGCAUGCUUAGCAUGCACAAGGUCCUGGGUUCAAUCCCCAGUAUCUCCU